rnacentral:rRNA from 1 species
AACGAACGCUGGCGGCGCGCCUAAUACAUGCAAGUCGAGCGAGAAGGUGUAGCAAUACACUUGUAAAGCGGCGAACGGGUGAGGAAUGCAUGGGUAACCUACCCUCGAGUGGGGAAUAACUAGCCGAAAGGUUAGCUAAUACCGCAUACGUUUCCGGAACUUCGGUUUCGGAAAGAAAGCAAUACCGUGGGUAUUGCGCUCCUGGAUGGGCUCAUGUCCUAUCAGCUUGUUGGUGAGGUAACGGCUCACCAAGGCUUCGACGGGUAGCUGGUCUGAGAGGACGAUCAGCCACACUGGCACUGCGACACGGGCCAGACUCCUACGGGAGCAGCAGUAAGGAAUAUUGCGCAAUGGACGAAAGUCUGACGCAGCGACGCCGCUGGGGGGAUGAAGGUCUUCGGGAUUGUAAACCCCUUUCGGGAGGGAAGAUGGAGUGGGUAACCACUUGGACGGUACCUCCAGAAGCAGCCACGGCUAACUUCGUGCCAGCAGCCGCGGUAAU